rnacentral:rRNA from 1 species
AUUGAACGCUGGCGGCAGGCCUAACACAUGCAAGUCGAACGGUAACAGGAAACAGCUUGCUGUUUCGCUGACGAGUGGCGGACGGGUGAGUAAUGUCUGGGAAACUGCCUGAUGGAGGGGGAUAACUACUGGAAACGGUAGCUAAUACCGCAUAACGUCGCAAGACCAAAGAGGGGGACCUUCGGGCCUCUUGCCAUCGGAUGUGCCCAGACGGGAUUAGCUAGUAGGUGGGGUAACGGCUCACCUAGGCGACGAUCCCUAGCUGGUCUGAGAGGAUGACCAGCCACACUGGAACUGAGACACGGUCCAGACUCCUACGGGAGGCAGCAGUGGGGAAUAUUGCACAAUGGGCGCAAGCCUGAUGCAGCCAUGCCGCGUGUAUGAAGAAGGCCUUCGGGUUGUAAAGUACUUUCAGCGGGGAGGAAGGGAGUAAAGUUAAUACCUUUACUCAUUGACGUUACCCGCAGAAGAAGCACCGGCUAACUCCGUG